CAGUCGCCGCGGGAAUACGUAGGGUGCGAGCGUUAAUCGGAAUUACUGGGCGUAAAGCGUGCGCAGGCGGUUCGUUAAGACAGAUGUGAAAUCCCCGGGCUUAACCUGGGAACUGCAUUUGUGACUGGCGAGCUAGAGUAUGGCAGAGGGGGGUAGAAUUCCACGUGUAGCAGUGAAAUGCGUAGAGAUGUGGAGGAAUACCGAUGGCGAAGGCAGCCCCCUGGGCCAAUACUGACGCUCAUGCGCGAAAGCGUGGGGAGCAAACAGGAUUAGAUACCCGGGUAGUCCCUGUCUCUUAUAA
rnacentral:rRNA from 1 species